GGAAGUAAAAGUCAUAACAAGGUCUCCGUUGGUGAACCAGCGGAGGGAUCAUUACCAGAGUUUUACAACUCCCAACCCUUCUGUGAACCUACCUAUCGUUGCUUCGUCGGACUCGCCCCAGCGUCCGGACGGCCCCGCGCCGGCCCGCGACCUGGACCCAGGCGGCCGCCGGAGACCACAUAAUCCUGUAUCCAUCAGUCGCUCUGAAUCCGCCGCAAGGCAAAACAAACGAAUCAAAACUUUCAACAAUGGAUCUCUUGGUUCUG
rnacentral:misc_RNA from 1 species